AACGAACGCUGGCGGUAUGCCUAACACAUGCAAGUCGAACGAGACCUUCGGGUCUAGUGGCGCACGGGUGCGUAACGCGUGGGAACCUGCCCCUAGGUUCGGCAUAACUCCCCGAAAGGGGUGCUAAUACCGGAUAAUGUCUUCGGACCAAGGAUUUAUCGCGUUUGGAUGGGCCCGCGUUGGAUUAGCUAGUUGGUAGGGUAAUAGCCUACCAAGGCGACGAUUCAUAGCUGGGCUGAGAGGAUGAUCAGCCACACUGGGACUGAGACACGGCCCAGACUCCUACGGGAGGCAGCAGUGAGGAAUAUUGGACAAUGGGCGAAAGCCUGAUCCAGCAAUGCCGCGUGAGUGAUGAAGGCCUUAGGGUUGUAAAGCUCUUUUAACCGGGAUGAUAAUGACAGUACCGGGAGAAUAAGCUCCGGCUAACUCCGUG
rnacentral:rRNA from 1 species